rnacentral:rRNA from 1 species
CGAUGUCGAUUUAGAGGUCGUUCCCUUGAGGAGUGGCUUCCGGAGCUAACGCGUUAAAUCGACCGCCUGGGGAGUACGGCCGCAAGGUUAAAACUCAAAUGAAUGACGGGGGCCCGCACAAGCGGUGGAGCAUGUGGUUUAAUUCGAUGCAACGCGAAGAACCUUACCUACUCUUGACAUCCAGAGAAUUUAGCAGAGAUGCUUUAGCGCCUUCGGGAACUCUGAGACAGGUGCUGCAUGGCUGUCGUCAGCUCGUGUUGUGAAAUGUUGGGUUAAGUCCCGCAACGAGCGCAACCCUUAUCCUUUGUUGCCAGCACAUUAUGGUGGGAACUCAAAGGAGACUGCCGGUGAUAAACCGGAGGAAGGUGGGGAUGACGUCAAGUCAUCAUGGCCCUUACGAGUAGGGCUACACACGUGCUACAAUGGCGUAUACAAAGAGAAGCGACCUCGCGAGAGCAAGCGGAACUCAUAAAGUACGUCGUAGUCCGGAUUGGAGUCUGCAACUCGACUCCAUGAAGUCGGAAUCGCUAGUAAUCGUAGAUCAGAAUGCUACGGUGAAUACGUUCCCGGGCCUUGUACACACCGCCCGUCACACCAUGGGAGUGGGUUGCAAAAGAAGUAGGUAGCUUAACCUUCGGGAGGGCGCUUACCACUUUGUGAUUCAUGACUGGGGUGAAGUCGUAACAAGGUAACCA